CUCCCCUCUUCACGUAUAAAAGGUUGGACGUCCAUCUGGCAAAGAUCCAAGGCAUGGUAACGCCUGGAACAGAAGACUGCAGGAAUUCUUCGACAGGCUGCUGCUCCAACUUCAGGAAGACUUUUGAAAAUCUUCCUAAUCAGAUUUAGAUAUGAUUUUUAGAGCAUAGAUUUGCGAGGAGAAGACGUUCCAGGUUCUGCCCGAGUGGAUACCGGUAAAGGCCAGGCGCUUGCGUGACUACAUCAGAACCUCGGACUAUGCU
rnacentral:lncRNA from 1 species